GACGAACGCUGGCGGCGUGCUUAACACAUGCAAGUCGAGCGGUAAGGCCCUUUCGGGGGUACACGAGCGGCGAACGGGUGAGUAACACGUGGGUGACCUGCCCUCAGCUCUGGGAUAAGCCUGGGAAACCGGGUCUAAUACCGGAUAUGACUCCAUGACGCAUGUUGUGGGGUGAAAGCCUUGUGCGGCUGAGGAUGGGCCCGCGGCCUAUCAGCUUGUGGUGGGGUNAUGGCCUACCAAGGCGACGACGGGUAGCCGGCCUGAGAGGGCGACCGGCCACACUGGGACUGAGACACGGCCCAGACUCCUACGGGAGGCAGCAGUGGGGAAUCUUGCGCAAUGGGCGAAAGCCUGACGCAGCGACGCCGCGUGAGGGAUGA
rnacentral:rRNA from 1 species